rnacentral:rRNA from 1 species
GUACACUCCUACGGGAGGCAGCAGUGGGGAAUAUUGGACAAUGGGCGCAAGCCUGAUCCAGCCAUGCCGCGUGAGUGAUGAAGGCCCUAGGGUUGUAAAGCUCUUUCACCGGUGAAGAUAAUGACGGUAACCGGAGAAGAAGCCCCGGCUAACUUCGUGCCAGCAGCCGCGGUAAUACGAAGGGGGCUAGCGUUGUUCGGAUUUACUGGGCGUAAAGCGCACGUAGGCGGACUAUUAAGUCAGGGGUGAAAUCCCGGGGCUCAACCCCGGAACUGCCUUUGAUACUGGUAGUCUUGAGUUCGAGAGAGGUGAGUGGAAUUCCGAGUGUAGAGGUGAAAUUCGUAGAUAUUCGGAGGAACACCAGUGGCGAAGGCGGCUCACUGGCUCGAUACUGACGCUGAGGUGCGAAAGCGUGGGGAGCAAACAGGAUUAGAUACCCUAGUAGUCCCA